rnacentral:lncRNA from 7 species
GUAAUGGUGCACUCAUAUAUGGAACCCCUCCUAGUGCAGCGUGAACUCAUCUUUGAACUUUUCUAUUACAGUUUGAUGGAAUACAUCGAGUGUCAUCAUCAAGUACUCCAGUGAAGAAGCAACCAACAGUGCAGUUUCAUGUUCAGAAUUGUGUUUCACAUAGAUGUUAUCUAAAACAUAUGAUGGUGUUAUUACUUAUUUCUAGACAUGU